GACGAACGCUGGCGGCGUGCUUAACACAUGCAAGUCGAGCGGUAAGGCCCUUUCGGGGUACGACGAGCGGCGAACGGGUGAGUAACACGUGGGUGACCUGCCCUCAGCUCUGGGAUAAGCCUGGGAAACCGGGUCUAAUACUGGAUAUGACUCCAUGACGCAUGUUGUGGGGUGGAAAGCCUUGUGCGGCUGAGGAUGGGCCCGCGGCCUAUCAGCUUGUUGGUGGGGUGAGGGCCUACCAAGGCGACGACGGGUAGCCGGCCUGAGAGGGCGACCGGCCACACUGGGACUGAGACACGGCCCAGACUCCUACGGGAGGCGGCAGUGGGGAAUCUUGCGCAAUGGGCGAAAGCCUGACGCAGCGACGCCGCGUGAGGGAUGACGGCCUGUGUAAC
rnacentral:rRNA from 1 species